CAGAGCGUUUUGUGUGUGUGUGUGUGUGUGUGUGUGUGUGUGUGUGUGUGUGUGUGUGUGUGUGUGUGUGUUUGGGUGGGUUACUCAGUUACUUAUUGUCCCCCAGGUUGUGGCAGGCAGAUACAGCAUGUACUGUCCUACUAAAACACAGCUCUACUUCAUUUUUUCUAACAGAAUGGGCAGUUUGUCAGUGUUGGACAGAAGGGCGCACUGGUGGUGAUUUGGCACUCCAUGAUUGCUUAUAGCGGCCUGUCUCGAUGACCAGUGUGUGUGCGCAGAGUCUGUACUUUGUCAGCGUGGUUCUGUGUUAGUGUUCAGUAUCUUUGUCUUUUGCUCUCUCGCUCUCUCUCUCACUCUCUCUCAAUCCAUCUAUGUUUCUUUCUCCUGUAGGCGGCACUGUUUGAGUAAGAACUGAAUAGCGAGUCUACUCUUCGUGUUUGUAAUAUGUGGUGCUUCUAGCACCCAAGACCUACAGUAGAGCACAUGUACUACUGUACACAUGGGCCUGCAGAAAUAAACCAACACCAGUGUUGUACAAGCGGAGCAGUAGGCUACUACAGGGGUUCCCAAACUUUUCCAGGGCAAGGCCCCCCAUAUGGUAUUAACAUUUGACCCCCCUUUUACAAGAUGUCUUUUAAACACAUUAAAAAUACAGACUUCUGAAUAUAUCCCCCUUUUUUAUUAUUAAUAAUUACAUCUUACAUCUUUACGUUACAUUAGGAAUUGAUUGUGGGUGCGUGUGGUUGUCUGAGAGUGAAAAAGAAAAAAUCAUGUAUUUAUUUAUUUUUCACACCAAAUUGUUGAGGCCCCCGGGCGCCCCCUGGUGGCCGCCACUUUGAAAACCACUGGGCUACUACGCAAGGUGAGGAGCGUUUCUCAGUCCGGCACUGCUGAUAGUGUCAUUAUGUGGAGAUGGCCGAUUGUUUUUAUGCUAUUAUUUUUAAUUACUGCAUGUACAUGUAGUUCUGGUUCCAACUGGUGUUAAAAUGUACACAAACAAGUCUCAUCUCACCUACAAUUAUGUACAUCUGGUUUUAAUAUUUUAUGGUUUCAUUUUAUUAUUUUUUUGUUUGUUUUGUUUUCAUUGGCACAUACCCACACCAAAAUUCUGCCAGUGUACCUCAUGAAAAUAUUAACUUGAUCCUAAGAGGUCAACGGACAUCUAACUUCACUUGAGCUAAUAAUUUGAUGCUGCUUGCAACAGACCUUACCUAGAGCAGAAUGUUAUCUUUAGCCAAAAGAAAUUCUGGGUGUUGGUCGCUAAUAUCUCAUUUUAGUUUUCACCACGAAAUGUUAGUAAAUUAUUAAGCAGAAUGUAACCAAAAACUUGCCAUGAAUGUGUGUGUCUGCCUCGUGCCCUGUGUUCCUUGCAUAGUUGCUGAAGAAGAAUGAAUGACUGAAAUUCCAGUACAAAUGUACCUGUUUGGAUUUGGAGAAUGUCAACACGGAAAUUGUUUACUUUGUUUCAUCUCAAAAGUUAUGUUUUGGAUUGAUGUUUUGUGGCAGGAUACAUAUUUCUUUUAUUUCUUUGUGGUAUUAUUAUUGCUGUUGUUAUUGUUGUUGUUGUUUCAUGGAUCAAGACCUUGUCAUGGUGAAGGGGACUGUGUACUUUGCUGAACCUCAGGGCUAUGUAACUAGGAGCGUGAUGCUCCCACAGUAGGGCCACCCAUUGUGAACAGAUCUGAGGAGAGAUCAGACAAAGAGCAAACCUAAAGACCCCAAUGAAAGGUACAAAAAGAAGACCAAAUGUACCCUACACAGAUUAGGGUUACUGUGACCUACCCAGAGGCAGGUCUAGGGGUAAUGUCCACAGGCGAGUGUCAAACUCAGCCCAAAAUAAGAACCUCAUGGGUUCACCACCAGCACGAUUGUGGGGGGGAUCAGAUGCCAUGCCAUUCAGAUAUUCUUAGACGGACUAAACCUUUGCAAAGAUCAGACCGUGAGCAAGGUUUGCUGAGCAAGUGUGGAGGAAUGUUGACCUGUCUUUGGGAUAUUGUUGAGUGAUGGAAGGAGCAAUUUGACCAACCCAGUUUCAGGAGGUACCCUCAUUUAACCCUCAUUCAAGGAGGCAGUGCCAUAAAUUUCUGAUUCUUUGCGAUCUGUGUGACUGAGGUUAGUAUGGUAGUUAGAAACUUUCAGUGGCAAGUGGGGCUGUCACGAAUACUCAAUUAUAAUUGACUACUUGAUUAUACUGUGCUGUAUAUGUACUGUGCAAAAGUCUUAGGCAAAUAUAAAGGAUUGUUGUAGAACAAAGAGAUCUGCAAAAAUAAUGAAAUUUAAUGUUUCUACAUUAAAAAAAAAAACUAUAAAGACCAGCAAACAGCAGUAAAUGAAACAAAGUCAAUAUUUGGUGCAAUAACCCUUUGAAAGAAAAAAAGAAUUACUAGUCUCAGGUACAAUUUCUGCAGUUUUAUAAGGAAAUGAGCUGUAAGUUUUACUGAGCGUCUUGCAGAACCAGUCACAGUUCUUCUGGAGACUUCUUGCACUUGCUUCUUAUUUUUGCAGCAAAACCCAUCAAGCAACCUUCAUCAAGUUGUUAGUCUAAAAAGUGUUCUCUUACGUAAUAUGCUGCUGUCUUCACUGACAUACAAACAUUUUUAUGUAACAUUUUGUGCUGGAAAACAAAUGUUUGGAAAUCUAAAAUGUUGUUGUAUUCACUCGAUAAUGUAGAAGUCAUAAAAUAAAAAUCUAACAAAGUUUGUUUGCCAAAGACAUUUGCACCGUGCACGCACACACAUUUUAUUAUUUAUUUUUCGUGUGUGUGUGCUUGUGUGUGCGCGCGCGCCAGAAGGUGGCGAUAAUGCACAGCAAAGUUGACUUUACAACAAACCACAAGGAAGAGCAUUCAGCUUCAUGACGGAAAGCAACGUGCAGUCAGUCCAAGCAGGAAAAGGAGCAGUCAAUUAGUGAAGAGAAAUGUACUUACUUAUGUACCCGUUACAGCAUGUUUAAUGUUAGCGUGUGUUCAUAAAUACUCCUGCAUGCAGGCAUGUACAGGAUGGAAGAUAAUGGAAAUUGAAUAAAACAACGGAAAUAUUAUUGUUUCUGAGCGAAUUUAUAAUUAAGUUAACCAGCGUUAAACUACUCUU
ensembl:lncRNA